GCUGAGUGCUGUGGCGCACGCCUGUAAUCCCAGCAGCUCGGGAGGCUGAGGCAGGAGGAUCGCAUUUUCAAAGCCAGCCUCAGGAAUUUAGCAAGGCCCUAAGCUACUCAGUGAGACCCUGUCUCUG
rnacentral:sRNA from 1 species